UAAUACGUGUUGCCUUUUGCCCA
rnacentral:piRNA from 1 species